AUGGCCUCGUCCUCGGAUCCUGGCAAGGGGAAGCAAGGAGCUGCGCCGGACAGGUCGGCGAGGGCUCAGAUGGAAGAAGCCAUGGGUAGACUGGAUCUCAUGGAGGAGGAAGCCACCCCCCUGGUGGUGGACGAUCUGGAGGAAGGAACGCAACAGAAGUGGGCGAUUGCUGGGAAGAUACUGCACCACAAGGUAUUCCACAUCCAGACGAUUGCAAACGCGUUGAGGCCGGCGUGGGGAAACCCUAGGGGUUUGUUCCUCAGGCCAGCAGGAGAGAAUAUUUUCGUGGUGGAGUUCGACAAUCGCCACGACCGGGAUCGUGUGCGUGAAGGAUCUCCGUGGCACGUCAGUAAGCACGCAGUGAUUUUGACUGAUUUCGAUGACAGCAUGCGGCCGUCGGAGCUCAGGUUUUAUAAGCUUCAGUUGUGGGCUAGGGUUCUGAACCUUCCCUUCAACAUGCAGAACGAAGUUAGGGGACUGGCGGUGGCCAAGUAG
rnacentral:rRNA from 1 species